CAGUCGCCACGGGAAUACAGAGGGUGCGAGCGUUAAUCGGAUUUACUGGGCGUAAAGCGUGCGUAGGCGGCUUUUUAAGUCGGAUGUGAAAUCCCUGAGCUUAACUUAGGAAUUGCAUUCGAUACUGGGAAGCUAGAGUAUGGGAGAGGAUGGUAGAAUUCCAGGUGUAGCGGUGAAAUGCGUAGAGAUCUGGAGGAAUACCGGUGGCGAAGGCGGCCCCCUGGACAAAGACUGACGCUCAGGUGCGAAAGCGUGGGGAGCAAACAGGAUUAGAUACCCCAGUAGUCCCUGUCUCUUAUAC
rnacentral:rRNA from 1 species